rnacentral:rRNA from 1 species
UACAGAGGGGGCAAGCGUUAUUCGGAAUUAUUGGGCGUAAAGGGCGCGUAGGCGGCUUUGCAAGUCGGGUGUGAAAGCCCUCGGCUCAACCGAGGAAGUGCACCCGAAACUGCAGAGCUUGAGUACCGGAGAGGAUGGCGGAAUUCCCCAAGUAGAGGUGAAAUUCGUAGAUAUGGGGAGGAACACCGGUGGCGAAGGCGGCCAUCUGGACGGAUACUGACGCUGAGACGCGAAAGCGUGGGGAGCAAACAGG